rnacentral:rRNA from 1 species
UGGGGAAUUUUGGACAAUGGGGGAAACCCUGAUCCAGCCAUCCCGCGUGUGCGAUGAAGGCCUUCGGGUUGUAAAGCACUUUUGGCAGGAAAGAAACGUCGCGGGUUAAUACCCCGCGAAACUGACGGUACCUGCAGAAUAAGCACCGGCUAACUACGUGCCAGCAGCCGCGGUAAUACGUAGGGUGCAAGCGUUAAUCGGAAUUACUGGGCGUAAAGCGUGCGCAGGCGGUUCGGAAAGAAAGAUGUGAAAUCCCCAGAGCUUAACUUUGGAACUGCAUUUUUAACUACCGGGCUAGAGUGUGUCAGAGGGAGGUGGAAUUCCGCGUGUAGCAGUGAAAUGCGUAGAUAUGCGGAGGAACACCGAUGGCGAAGGCAGCCUCCUGGGAUAACACUGACGCUCAUGCACGAAAGCGUGGGGAGCAAACAGGAUUAGAUACCCUGGUAGUCCACGCCCUAAACGAUGUCAACUAGCUGUUGGGGCCUUCGGGCCUUGGUAGCGCAGCUAACGCGUGAAGUUGACCGCCUGGGGAGUACGGUCGCAAGAUU